UUAAAAAAAAUUCGAGUUGGGAAGCGUGCUAGAGAAAAAAAUUUCCUCUCUUCCUCUUUCAGCCGCACGAUGUCGUGACCCCCCUUCUAUUUCGCACAUCCGUUCGUCACAGUCGCCGAUCCGCCACGCUGUGCCGCUUCAGCCUUGCCUGUCGCCGUCAAACGUUGCUUGCCAUCGUCGAUCGUUUGGUUGCUGAAGCGUCGCCGUUGUCUUAGGGGUUCUUCGUCGUCGUCUUAAGCGUUGCCGCCCAACGCCUGCGCCAGCCCACCGCACGCUUCGUCGACCGAAUGCGAGUUGCCGCCGUCGAGCCUUGAAUGCCACCCGUACUCGGCCCCAGCUGCGCGUCUCUGCCUGUCAUCCGCCGUGCCUCCAGUCGCCGGAAUCCAAUGAUUUAAGUGGAUUCAGGAGUUUAGGGUUGUUAAGGAAGUUGUCCAACAAAGUAGAGGUUCGUUUUGGGCAUUCUCGGUACUUUUGAGCAAGUGUUAAAGAUUCAAUCCAUUUUUGGACUAGGUUAUGUUGCUGUAAUUUGAUAUUUAACCCUUGAUAUUGGUGUAUGUUCAGAUUGGGAUGCUUAAUUGAAGUGUUGGAGUGAUAUUGGAACAAACCACGUGUUGUAUAAGUGGUUUUAAAUUUCUGUAGAAUAAAUUUGUGACCUAGAAUUUGGGCUAAGUGCAAAAAAUUAAUUUCUGGUUUGUGCUUUAGGAUUCGAUUCAAAGUGCGUGGAACUUGGUGGCUGGUGUGCUUGAAUUGAAUUUUGUGUCUAAAAGUGAGGUAAGGGAAGGGAUCAGUUGGCGAAUGAUAGGAAGAAUCCAUGACUCGGCCGUUGGGACAUGACAUCGCUUCCGCAUUUGUUCAUUUCUUUAACUUGACAUGAUUUGGUUUAAGAUUUAGUUUUUUUAAAGAAAACCCUUGGUUAUUUCAUUUAUUCAUUCACUAAUUCACUAAUUCAUUUACUAGUUUAAUUUAUUUUAAAAUAAGUUCAGGGGUAUCCCAAAUAGUGUUUUUCAGGAUUUUAGUAUUUGAGUUUUACUUAAUGAAAUAAAAAUUUUAUUUAAUUUUUUUCUUCGAGAAACUUAUUGUCA